rnacentral:ncRNA from 1 species
UAAAGUUAUGGUCCAGGACUUCCUGUUUAUUAUGACCAAAAUUAUACAUGCAACCAUCCACACUCUCAUGAAAAAGCCCAUAUACCACACCCAGACAAAUGGAGCAGGCAUCACGCAUAACUACCAGCCAAAAACACCUAAUAACAUCACACCUACAAGGGCACGCAGCAGUAAUCAACAUUAGGCCAUGGGCAAGCCACAGCCUGACCUAGUUACAGUCAAUUAGAAUGGGCCAAUCUUGUGCCAGCCACCACAGUUAUACUGAACACUCAAAACAACAGGCACCAGCAUAUACCGUGGCUAAAACUUGCAAGCCGUUGCCGGAAACAGCCAACACCGACAUGUAAAACAAGGGUCCAAUGGGAAACCCACCACUUAACACUCAAUGGAUUUUUGACCCACAAAAGUUAGGAUACAAACUAGGAUUAGACACCUUACUAUGCCCAACCAUAAACAUCGUCUGGCCAGAAAAAUACUAGCAAAAGCCAGAAUCUCAAGGGACUCGAAGGUGUUCUACACCCCCUAGAGGAGCCUGUCCUAUAACUGAUAACCCACGAUAAACCUCACCACUCCUAGAUCAUCAGCCUAUAUACCGCCGUUGUCAGUCUGCCUUUAAGAGCAGCGGACCUAACCGACCCUAAUUCAAAAACGACAGGUCAAGGUGUAGCUCAUGGAGGGGGAAGAGAUGGGCUACAUUACCACAACAUUGGUCAUAACGGAACAUGACAUGAAACAAGUCAUAACAAGGAGAAUUUAGCAGUAAAGGAAGUAAGAACGCUUCCUUGAACACAGCCCUGGAACGCGUACACACCGCCCGUCACCCCCAUCAACACCAACCAAAAAAUACAUAAUACCACACAAGAGACAAGAAGGGGUAAGUCGUAACAUGGUAAGCGUACCGGAAGGUGCGCUUGGAAGA